rnacentral:rRNA from 1 species
AGGACGAACGCUGGCGGCGUGCUUAACACAUGCAAGUCGAACGGAGUUGUCGGAGCUUGCUCUGGCAACUGAGUGGCGAACGGGUGAGUAACACGUGAGGAACCUGUCCUGGUCUCUGGGAUAACAGCCGGAAACGGCUGCUAAUACCGGAUGCCGUCGGAGCGUCGCAUGGCGCGCUGACGAAAGGGUUCUGGAU